GUGUGUGUGUGUGUGUGUGUGUGUGUGUGUGUGUGUGUUUAUGUGUUUGUGUGUGUGGGGAGGGGGGGAGUUGGAGGUUUGGAGGGCGGCAUCUAGCAACCACAGAGCUCACGAUCAGCUUACUGUCCUCUGCACAUAUUCACGCUUAACGAACUAUGACAGGUUGGCGGACAGAUACCGGAGUGUCCUCUCCUUUCUCUCAGUCCGGUCCCCACUAUGUAAGGGAAUGAGGGAAGAGGGGGAGAGAGAGAGAGAAAGAGAGAGAGAUAGAUAGAGAGAGAGAUAUACAUAGAGAGGGAGAGAGAGAGA